GAGGCAGUAAGAACUUUGCAGCAGGAGGGCUGUUGGGGCUGACCAAGCUGUUCUGGGACUGCAAGGGCUAGUUCAGCAGCAGUGUGGACUUGUCCUGGAACACCAUUGUGAGUCGCUCCUGUUUCUGCUGGUUGUCUCGAGGAACAGUUGCUUUCCUAACCCAGAGAUGACCCACAUGUUCAGGAGCUAUUCAUAGAGACUGUACUUCUCUUGAGGCUCCCAUCUGUCUUCCUCAAUGCUUUGUCUCCUUUCUCCUUCCUUUGCUCCUAUAGGCAAAGCAAAGUUGAUGCAGAUUAUACUGAUGUUUCUUUCUCGGAUGUCGGCCUUGGGAAGAGGCAGCCCGAGUAUUUCUUCCCUUCCCCCACUCCCUCUUUCUUGGUGGCAUCUGGCUUCUUGGCUGAGGUCUGCAGGCAGCUAUGUGGCAGCUCUAGACUUGCCUUGGGCAGCUAGCUACAGCUACUGAUGGGGACAUCUAGGUUGCCUUGUCCUAUCUGAAUGUAAUUUUCUUUAACUCCUCUUUGAAUUCAGUGAAAUGUUUCCACAGUCUAUUUCUUUACUUCUAAAAGUGUUUGAGAGUCUCUGAUUUGUUUGUGGGGAAUAAGAGGGAAAUGUAAGAGUUGCCCAAAGACCCUUUGGUUUCAAAACAAGGAAACUCAUCAUCUUUCUUACUUAAAUAAAUAAUAAAAAUAAGUUUUGUUUUUUUUUUAAUUUCUAGGGCAUUUUGUGUUUUGCUGGUGAUGGGAUAAGUUAUUUAGUGGCUCUUUAAACAACCUACACACCUGGACUGCACAGAUUUUGUACCAAACUGCCUUUCUGAAGUUGACAGCAAGGAGCAUUUUUAUUUAAAUUUGAAAAUGGAGCAAUUCCAGGAGCCAAAUUUAAAACCCAGCUGAUGUUAAAGACCUUAAAGAGGAAUAUGUAACAAAGAAAAAUGUCUAACUAUGGGUACCACUUACUUGUCCCAGCCUUCAUCUCCAACCCUGAUUACUGUCAUCUCUACCUCAGCUGACUGCU